GUCUCAGGUUUGAUCCCUGGCACCAACUAGUUCCUCCUGUCGGAGUGUCCUUGAGCAAGACAGCUUAUUCAAACCUGUUGUCGGCUUGCUAAGUCGGAGGAAUAGGAAUGCGUGUUCUAUCUUCUGGUUUGGGAAAGUCAGGUAAACCUGCUGGUGAAAUAUCGAUUCCUUUGGUUUUAUCCAUAAGGGUAAAUAUUAUUCAGUUAUUGGCUUACCUGCUUUCAUGCUGUCAUGCUGGUGGCGUCUUUUGGUCCGUUUCAUCGCAGCGUGGCUGCAUGUCUGAGGACAUGCUUCUGGAGACAGGUUUGGAGACGAAAAGCGCCUCGACUGCACUGGAGAAAGUGGAAAGGCUAUGUGUGUGUAGGUCAGCUGUCUGCCCACAGGAGGCAAAGUUAAAGCUAGUUUCAUAUACAACCGGCCCUCUUCCCCCAGUUCCACACACCAUACUGAUGGACAGGCACCUAAAUGGCCAUGGGCGGAUCAUGUGUUGCAUAUGCACCUGUGUAAUGCUGAUCAUCAGGAGAGCCUCAAAGGCCGGCACCACAAUUAGUUGAGGAAGAUCCCAGUUUUUAAUGGACUCGCUAUUGCCAAAAGAGCUGUCAAGGCCGCGGUGUGCCCCUGCUUCAACCGGUCACAUCAUAAUCUUUUGUGUAUUCAGUUCCUGUCCUUAUAUCAGGGUGAAACAGCUCAUCUGUUGCUUAGUAUUCUAUUAUUGCAUCAUGUAUGAUCCAAAGCCUCUGUGUACCUACUUGUUAAAGUGUUUUUUCCACAUGUCUAAUGUAUGGUAUUUGCACUUUUAGUGUCGUGCAAACCUCGUCAAUCACACUAAGCAAGAGGCAAUUCAAAAUUCCACACAUAAUACAUAACUGUUUAAAAAACACAAUGAA